rnacentral:rRNA from 1 species
AGUCGACGGGAUCUAUAAGCUUGCUUAUAGUGAGAGUGGCGCACGGGUGCGUAACGCGUAUGCAACCUACCUUAUACAGGGGGAUAGCCCGGGGAAACCCGGAUUAAUACCCCAUGGUAUUAUGAACUGGCAUCUGUUUAUAAUUAAAGAUUUAUCGGUAUAAGAUGGGCAUGCGUAGGAUUAGCUAGUUGGUAAGGUAACGGCUUACCAAGGCUACGAUCCUUAGGGGUUCUGAGAGGAAGGUCCCCCACACUGGUACUGAGAUACGGACCAGACUCCUACGGGAGGCAGCAGUAGGGAAUAUUGGGCAAUGGACGAGAGUCUGACCCAGCCAUGCCGCGUGCAGGAAGACGGCGUUAUGCGUUGUAAACUGCUUUUAUACGGGAAGAAAAAGUCCAUGCGUGGAAAAUUGCCGGUACCGUAUGAAUAAGCACCGGCUAACUCCGUGCCAGCAGCCGCGGUAAUACGGAGGGUGCAAGCGUUGUCCGGAUUUAUUGGGUUUAAAGGGUGCGUAGGCGGGGAUUUAAGUCAGCGGUGAAAGUUCAGGGCUCAACCCUGAAAUUGCCAUUGAGACUGGAUUUCUCGAGUGUCGAUGGGGUACAUGGAAUUUAUGGUGUAGCGGUGAAAUGCAUAGAUA